UAAAAGAUAAUAAUGCAUAUGGUGGAUGCCUUGGGUUUUUGUGAUGAUGAAGGAGGUGCUAGGCUGCCUUAAGCCUCGGGGAGCUGCCACGAAGCGCUAUCACCCGGGGAUUUCCGAAUGGGGAAACCCGAUCCGUAGUAAUGCGAGAUCACCCUUCACUGAAGGUUUGCCGCAAGGCGAAAGAUAGGUGAUGUGGAAGUAACCCAGCGAACUGAAACAACUUAGUAGCUGGAGGAAAAGAGACCAAUAGGUAUUUCCUAAGUAGCGGCGAGCGAAAGGGAAUUAGUCCAAACCUAAGUUCAAGUUGGAAAAUAUGGCGCUAACGCUCCAUAUUUUCGAUUUGAAUGAGGGGGUGAGGAAAACCUACACACGUAUCAAGUCGUAAAGAAGUUACAAAAUUUUUUCGUAGGAGAAGCCGUCUGGAAAGUCGCGCCAUAGAAGGUAAUGGCCCUGUAUCCGAAACGAGAAAUCUUCUUAGGUUUAUCCAGAGUAGCACGGGGCACGUGAAACCCUGUGUGAAGUUAGCAGGUCCAUCUGCAAAGACUAAAUACACAAAAACACCGAUAGUGAACUAGUACCGUGAGGGAAAGGUGAAAAGAACCCCUGUUAGGGGAGUGAAAUAGAUCCUGAAACCGUAUGCAUACAAGCUGGCAAAGCCCGUCACGCUACUCUUUUAGAGUAUGCGGGGGUAAUGCCGUGCCUAUUGAAGAAUGAGCCAGCGAGUUAUUACUAUGCGCAAGCUUAAACCACUCAGUGGUAGAGGCGAAGGGAAACCAAGUCUUAAUAGGGCGACAAGUGCGUAGUAAUAGACCCGAAGCCAUGUGAGCUAACCAUGGGCAGGUUGAAGUCUCGUGAAAACGAGAUGGAGGACCGAACCGUUGUGCGUGGAAAAGCGCUCGGAUGACCUGUGGUUAGGGGAGAUACGCCAAUCGAACAUGGCGAUAGCUGGUUCUCCUCGAAAUAUAUUUAGGUAUAGCCUCUGUUUAUGAUGAUCGCGAGGUAGAGAUACUGAAAAGGGAUGCGGCCCGCAAGGGUACGCACUCUUACCAAACUCCGAAUGCGCGAUUAUUUACACAGGGAGUCAGUGCUGUGGGGAAAUCUCAUGGCACAAGAGGGAAACAACCCAGACCACCGGCUAAGGUCCCUAAUUUUUGCUAAGUGGGCAAGGAAGUGAUUCCGUUAAGACAGCUAGGAGGUUGGCUUAGAAGCAGCCACCCUUUAAAGAAAGCGUAACAGCUCACUAGUUAAACGGAAUUGCGCCAACGAUCUAACGGGGCUAAAGCAAAAAACCGACGCCGUGGACCGCUUUUGCAUUUAUGCAUAAGUGGUGGUAGAGGAGCUUUGAUGUCGUCAACCUUAAGUGGUUGAUCUUGGCUGUGAAGGAAGACCUGUGAGGGCUUCUGGAGCGGCAUCAAGUGAGAAUGCUGGCUUGAGUAACGAGAUGGGUGUGAAAACCACCCACGCCGAAUGUCUAAGGGUUCCUCCGCAACGUCAGUCGACGGAGGGUCAGUCGAUCCUAAGGUGAGGCCGAAGGGCGUAACCGAUGGAUAGCAGGUUAAUAUUCCUGCACUGUUAUUUAACCGUUUUUACCAAAGGGGGGACGGAGUUUGAUGAGUUAGGCCCAUUAAGGAUUUGGGUCCCGAAGGCGAAACAGUUUGUGUAGGAAAAUCCGCACAGGCGUUACGUUAAGCUGGGGGAAAAGCUGCCGCAAGGCGGUUGAUCUAACGUCACGCAAGCUUCCAAGAAAAUCCUCUAGGGAGGUUAAGUAACAUUCGUACCGCAAACCAACACAGGUGGACGGGUAGAGUAUACCAAGGCGAACGAGUAAAUUACGGCCGAGGAACUAGGCAAAUUACAUCCGUAACUUAGGGAAAAGGAUGCCCUACUGCAGGCUUACGCCGUAGGUAGGGGGCACAAAAAUGGUUCAAGCGACUGUUUACCAAAAACAUAGAUCUCUGCUAAACCAGUAAUGGGACGUAUAGGGGUCGAUGCCUGCCCAGUGCCCGUAGGUCAAGACUGGGGGUGAUUGCCGUAUUUAUACGGUAUGAGCUCUCGGUUUAAGCCCGGGUGAACGGCAGCAGUAACUAUAACUGUUCUAUGGUAGCGUAAUCCCUUGUCGGGUAAGUUCCGACCCGCACGAAAGGCAUAACGACUUGAGCACUCUCUUAGCCGUAAGCUCGGUGAAAUAGAACUACCGGUGAAGAUGCCGGUUACUCGUUGUUGGACAAAAAGACCCCGUGGAGCUUUACUGUAGCUUGGCAUUGGCAAGCGGUAUUAACUGUGUAGUGUAGGAGGGAGUUUCCAUUUUAUUAUGGAAGCGUCAAUGAAACACCUCUCUGUUGAUUCUGUGAGCCUUACUAUUCGCCGUAAUCCGGCGAAGGGACAAUGCUUGGUGGGCAGUUUAUCUGGGGCGGAUUCCCGCUAAAAGGUAACGCGGGAGCACAAAGGUUCCCUUGUCACGGAUGGAAAUCGUGACAUAAGCGUAAAGGUAUAUGGGAGCUUGACUGCUAGACAUACAAGUCGAGCAGAUACGAAAGUAGGUCUUAGUGAUCUUCCAUGGUCUUAUGGUAGACCUGGAACUUAACGGAUAAAAGUUACCCCGGGGAUAACAGGCUGAUCUUGCCCGAGCGUCCACAGCGGCGGCAAGGUUUGGCACCUCGAUGUCGUCUCGUCACAUCCUGGAGCUGGAGCAGGUUCCAAGGGUCCGGCUGUUCGCCGGUUAAAGUGGCGCGUUAGAUGGGUUCAGUACGUCGUGAGACAGUACGGUCUCUUUCCACAACGAGCGCUUAGAGAUUGAUGGGAUUCGUUCCUAGUACGAGAGGACCGGAAUGAACGAACCGCUAGUGUACCAGUUGUCCCGCCAGGGGCAUGGCU
rnacentral:rRNA from 1 species